AGGGGUAUUGGUUUUCGGACCAGAGACCGGCGCACGGGUGCGUAACGCGUAUGCAAUCUACCUUUUACAGAGGGAUAGCCCAGAGAAAUUUGGAUUAAUACCUCAUAGUAUUAUUGAAUGGCAUCAUUUAAUAAUUAAAGUCACAACGGUAAAAGAUGAGCAUGCGUCCCAUUAGCUUGUUGGUAAGGUAACGGCUUACCAAGGCAACGAUGGGUAGGGGUCCUGAGAGGGAGAUCCCCCACACUGGUACUGAGACACGGACCAGACUCCUACGGGAGGCAGCAGUGAGGAAUAUUGGUCAAUGGGCGCAAGCCUGAACCAGCCAUGCCGCGUGCAGGAUGACGGUCCUAUGGAUUGUAAACUGCUUUUGUACAGGAAGAAACAUCUCUACGUGUAGAGACUUGACGGUACUGUAAGAAUAAGGAUCGGCUAACUCCGUGCCAGCAGCCGCGGUAAUACGGAGGAUCCAAGCGUUAUCCGGAAUCAUUGGGUUUAAAGGGUCCGUAGGCGGUUUUGUAAGUCAGUGGUGAAAGCCCAUCGCUCAACGGUGGAACGGCCAUUGAUACUGCAAGACUUGAAUUAUUAGGAAGUAACUAGAAUAUGUAGUGUAGCGGUGAAAUGCUUAGAGAUUACAUGGAAUACCAAUUGCGAAGGCAGGUUACUACUAAUUGAUUGACGCUGAUGGACGAAAGCGUGGGGAGCGAACAGGAUUAGAUACCCUGGUAGUCCACGCCGUAAACGAUGGAUACUAGCUGUUCGGAGCAAUCUGAGUGGCUA
rnacentral:rRNA from 1 species